CAUUGCUUAUAUAAGACACCUUUCUGCCAGGCUUCCCGAGGUUACAUCUAUUAUCUAUAUCUUUCAUUGAACUUAAUGAUUUUAUUUUUAGUUGACUACAAGAAUCAAAUUGCAGCCUGCAGGUAUCUCUUUCUAUCUUUCACUUGUGUAGUCCCCUUAAUAGGAUCCGGUAUUAAAAAAAUUAAACACUUUAUUUGUUGUUUUGUAUACUGUGAAAUGAAUGACUUUCAGGUGAAAAGGGAAGAUUAAAUCAAAUAGUAGAUAAAGAUCUAAUGGGAGAGUGACUUAUUUAAAUGGGAAGAAAUUGUCCAUGUUGCACUCAUGUGUAGACAUAUUUUAGGUGACUUUGUUUAUUAUGUGGAAUUGCAUAUGCCUCUAAGUACUAAGGCACCACAUGUAGAGUUAUGAAUUUUGUGACAAUCUGAGCUGGUAAUUAAGGCAUUUUUCAUGUAUCAAAGAUCAACUAUUUUGAAAUCAGUGGUGUCAUUUAUAAGCAAAGGAUUGAUUAAGUUUGUCAUUUUGAUACCUCUAGAUAUAUUUGAGUUGUAUUUUGAAGUUGGAUUAUUUUAUAACCAAUACUUGGUUAAUAUUGUAGUGCAUGUCACUUAUUUUAUUUCUUAUGAGCAGUUUGAUUUUAGGAUUAAUGAAAUUUGUUUGGUUUUUAUUAUCCAGAUUCAGAAAAACUAGCAUUCAUUAUCAGGUGACUCUUACCUUUUAUUCUUAUUUUCUUUUUGUAGAGGAUGAAAUAUUUUCCACCUUAGUUAUUUUCCUUUUGGAUAAAAGAAUUGAUAUAUCUAGUCUAAGUACCUUUGAUUAUAACUAUAUGCAGACAUGAAAACAAAUGAGUAUAUGCCAACAAUGGUGGUGUUGACAAGACAAAAGUGGCCAACAUUAUUGUACGCAGAGAGGGAUCAAUGCUUUUACUUCUACUUCAUUUGAAAGAUUAAGGAUGUGAAUUUUGACGUAUCAAUUUAUAUUUAGCUAGUUUUGUGAUUUUUCCAUCUCGUUGCU
rnacentral:lncRNA from 1 species